rnacentral:rRNA from 1 species
UGGGGAAUAUUGGACAAUGGGGGAAAGCCUGAUCCAGCCAUGCCGCGUGUGUGAAGAAGGUCUUCGGAUUGUAAAGCACUUUAAGUUGGGAGGAAGGGCAGUAAGUUAAUACCUUGCUGUUUUGACGGUGUCGACAGAAUAAGCACAGGCUAACUCUGUG